GCCAGUAGCCAUAUCGCCCUACAGCUCACAACUGGUAACCCACUAGAGCUCAGCAGGUGUGAGCCUGGCCAGUACCUGAAUGGGAGACCUCCUGGGAAAGCUAAGGCUGCUGCUGGAA
rnacentral:rRNA from 1 species